UUACGGCCACAUCACAUAGAAACAUCGAUUCCCGUACGAUCACCAAAGUUAAACAACGUCGAGCCUGGUUAGUACCUAGAUGGGUGACUGCUUGGGAAUAACAGGCGCUGUAA